AUUGAGGUCUAAGCUGGAGAACAAGCCUGGUCUAAAGAUAAAAAGGACCUUUUAAAAAAGGUUCAACCUCGUUUAAAGAUGAAUGUCAUCCAUGCCUGUUGACGGUUCGGUUCUUUGGGAAAAGUAUGAGAAGUGCUGACCUCCCUUGCAUUUCACAGCCUGAAAGAGCAAGGCCUGAAGCAGAAGCUGCCAGUCUGCAUUCCAUUAAGACCACAAAGAGAAGGGAACAAACAUGAGAGCGGAGGUAUAGACGAGGUGACACAGCCCAGAAGAGAGAGGAUAGAGGAAGGGGGUUGAGAUACUGGCUGGUACUGCAAAUCUCAGGGAAA